AUAAUAGCAUCGUCACAAGACGCACACGGCACAAUCGCACACGGUACAGUCUAUUCUCUUUACGAAUCGAGAUAAUUUAUACCGAGUCGCGACUCACGAGUUAAUCAAACGCGAAACCGCAAGCGACAAACCAGUUGGGGACGAUAACUUAGUACGCGCACUUGUGUUCACCGAUUUUACAAAUAUAAUUAAGGAGAAAAUGGGCAAAAUACAUAAUUUCGGCGCUGGACCGGCCAAAUUGCCAGAAGAAGUGUAUGACAUACUAAAGGAUGAAUUUACUAACUUCGAUGGAACAGGAAUCAGCUUAUUGGAGACAAGUCAUCGGUCCCAGACUUAUUUUAAGCUGAAUAAAGAAGUCCAAGAUGUUGUCAGGAGGUUAAUGGAUGUCCCGAGUAACUACAAAAUUCUCCUCUUAUCCGGCGGUGGGCAGGGUCAGUUUGCUGCAGUGCCACUUAACUUGAUCUCUAGAACUGGAACGGCUGAUUACGUAGUAACAGGAGCAUGGUCCGCAAAAGCAGCAAAGGAGGCAAAGAAGUACGGCAAAGUGAAUAUGGUACUACCUCCCACGGAUCGCUAUGUGGAUAUUCCGGACCAGUCGACUUGGAAUCUUGAUCCCAACGCCUCAUACGUUUACAUUUGUACAAAUGAGACGAUUCAUGGUGUCGAGUUCGAUACUAUACCAGACACAAAGGGAGUCCCCUUAGUGGCUGAUAUGUCUUCAAAUUUUAUGUCCAAGAAAGUUGACGUCUCGAAGUUCGGCGUGAUAUAUGGUGGAGCUCAGAAGAACAUCGGUACCGCUGGCGUAGUGCUUGUAAUAGUAAGAGAGGAUCUCCUCAAUCAAGCCCUUCCAAUCUGUCCAUCCAUUCUUGAUUGGACUGUUAAUGCUAAAGCAGACUCUAUUCUCAACACGCCACCUAUGUUUGCAAUUUUAGUAAUGGGAAGAGUUUUGCAAUGGAUCGAAAGAAAGGGAGGUUUAAAUAAAAUGGCUGAAUUGGCCACGAAGAAAUCUUCCCUAAUUUAUAAUAUUAUCAAAGAUUCAAAUGGGUUUUACUACGCACCAGUCGCUGAGAAAGUAAGAAGUAAAAUGAAUAUCCCGUUCCGGAUUGGCUCUGCAACCGGCGAUGAUGGACUUGAAAAGGAAUUCUUAAAGGGCGCUGAAGCCUUAAACCUAAUUCAACUUAAAGGACACAGGGACGUCGGAGGAAUUCGUGCUUCAACAUACAAUGCAGUCACGUUGGAAGAAGUUCAAACUUUGGCCACCUACAUGAAAGACUUUUACAAGAAACAUGCUAAGUAAAUUAUAAGUACUUAUAUAGGUAGGUACGCAUACCGAUACCGACGAUGGUAUUUGUUACAAAAAAUAAAAGCUCGUAUUUUGAAUUUCCAUGAUUUGUUUAAGUAUUGUAUAGUCUAUAACUAUAUAAUAUUUUUUUAUACCUGUUUUUUUGAUUAGGUAAGAUAUAGCUAGAGACGUACAGUCAGCAAUAAAGAUAGGUUUGCAUACGCCAGUAUAAGCGAUUAUGGGCGGGUGCAAACUGCAAACCUAGUUUUGUUGCUGACUGUACAUUAAAUAUUUUGUGCGUCUGUUCUAAUUAAGCAUAAGUUUCUGUAAUAAACAAUUUUUUU